AUUGAACGCUGGCGGAAUGCUUUACACAUGCAAGUCGAGCGGCAGCGCGGGGCAACCUGGCGGCGAGCGGCGAACGGGUGAGUAAUGCAUCUGAAUAUGUCCAUUUGUGGGGGAUAGCCCGGCGAAAGCCGGAUUAAUACCGCAUGAGCCCGAGAGGGGAACGUGGGGGACCGCAAGGCCUCACGCGAAUGGGUUGGCCGAUGUCCGAUUAGCUAGUUGGUGGGGUAAAGGCUCACCAAGGCGAUGAUCGGUAGCUGGUCUGAGAGGAUGAUCAGCCACACUGGGACUGAGACACGGCCCAGACUCCUACGGGAGGCAGCAGUGGGGAAUUUUGGACAAUGGGGGCAACCCUGAUCCAGCCAUUCCGCGUGAGUGAAGAAGGCCUUCGGGUUGUAAAGCUCUUUUGUCCGGAGCGAAACGGUUAGCGUGAAUAGCGCUGACUACUGACGGUACCGGAAGAAUAAGCACCGGCUAACUACGUGCCAGCCGCCGCCGUAACAC
rnacentral:rRNA from 1 species